UUCCAUCGGAUGGGUGGGAUUGGUACUUCUUGUGCCCUUCUCCUUACUUAGCCCAGAACAGCGAGCGCAUCAAAAGGAAGACAAGUAGCGGUAAUUGGAAGAUCACAAGCCAAAGGGAUGAAAUAAAAACUCGAGACACUAGGGUUCUAAUAGGCAGCAAAAGGAUUCUGACCUUUUACAAAAAUCGCAUCAAGACCGGAUGGAUCUUGCACGAAUAUCACCUGAAUCAUAAACUUCUCGAUGGAUACUCUUCGACCCUCCAGAUACCAUAUGUCCUUUGUCGCUUAAAGAGGAAACCAGGAGAAAGCUUUGAUAUUUCGCCAAGCUUCGAAGAAGGAGAUUCAAGUGUUACUGAUGACCCUCCAGUUGCUGCUCAGCAUGAGUCAACCGAAGACACAGACCAAGAGUCGUCCUAUCAAGCAACCCUGGAAUCGCUCUCCCAAAUAGAGCUGGUCAACGACAACCAUCCAAACUACUACUCGCAUUACUCCUACGCUCCGCAGCCCUAUGUGUACGGCGACAACCAGG